rnacentral:rRNA from 1 species
CCUACGGGGGACAGCAGUGGGGAAUAUUGCACAAUGGGGGAAACCCUGAUGCAGCGACGCCGCGUGAGUGAAGAAGUAUUUCGGUACGUAAAGCUCUAUCAGCAGGGAAGAAAAUGACGGUACCUGACUAAGAAGCCCCGGCUAACUACGUGCCAGCAGCCGCGGUAAUACGUAGGGGGCAAGCGUUAUCCGGAUUUACUGGGUGUAAAGGGAGCGUAGACGGCAGGGCAAGUCUGGAGUGAAAUCCCAUGGCUUAACCAUGGAACUGCUUUGGAAACUGUGCAGCUAGAGUGCAGGAGAGGUAAGCGGAAUUCCUAGUGUAGCGGUGAAAUGCGUAGAUAUUAGGAGGAACACCAGUGGCGAAGGCGGCUUACUGGACUGUAACUGACGUUGAGGCUCGAAAGCGUGGGGAGCAAACAGGAUUAGAUACCCGAGUAGUC